rnacentral:pre_miRNA from 1 species
UAUAAGGGAUUUUGAGUUUUUGCUUGCAACGUUUAACCACUCGUCUUAUUCAAUUUUUUUUGAAAUUAUUGUUUAUUUUAUUUGUGACUUACUUUAUUAUCCACAAUAUUUUAAGCACAACUUUUCGUUUUUUAUAUUUGUAAAAAAAAUUUAAAUAAGACGAGUGGUCAAACGUUGCAAGAAAAAAAAAUCAAAAUCCCUUAUA